rnacentral:rRNA from 1 species
CCCCUACGGGACGCAGCAGUGGGGAAUAUUGGGCAAUGGGCGCAAGCCUGACCCAGCAACGCCGCGUGAAGGAAGAAGGCUUUCGGGUUGUAAACUUCUUUUCUCAGGGACGAAGCAAGUGACGGUACCUGAGGAAUAAGCCACGGCUAACUACGUGCCAGCAGCCGCGGUAAUACGUAGGUGGCAAGCGUUAUCCGGAUUUACUGGGUGUAAAGGGCGUGUAGGCGGGACUGCAAGUCAGAUGUGAAACCCGUGGGCUCAACCUAUGGCCUGCCUUUGAAACUGUAGUUCUUGAGUACUGGAGG